UACGUAGGGGGCAAGCGUUGUCCGGAAUCAUUGGGCGUAAAGAGCGUGUAGGCGGCUUGGUAAGUCCGCUGUGAAAGUCCAGGGCUCAACCCUGGAAAGCCGGUGGAAACUGUCAAGCUUGAGUCCGGAAGAGGCGAGUGGAAUUCCUGGUGUAGCGGUGAAAUGCGCAGAUAUCAGGAGGAACACCAAUGGCGAAGGCAGCUCGCUGGGACGGUACUGACGCUGAGAAGCGAAAGCAUGGGGAGCGAACAGG
rnacentral:rRNA from 1 species